GACAGAGGAUGCAAGCGUUAUCCGGAAUGAUUGGGCGUAAAGCGUCUGUAGGUGGCUUUUCAAGUCCGCCGUCAAAUCCCAGGGCUCAACCCUGGACAGGCGGUGGAAACUGCCAAGCUGGAGUACGGUAGGGGCAGAGGGAAUUUCCGGUGGAGCGGUGAAAUGCGUAGAUAUCUGGAGGAACACCGGUGGCGAAGGCGGCAUCCUGGACCACGACUGACGCUGAGGAGCGAAAGCCAGGGGAGCAAACGGG
rnacentral:rRNA from 1 species